UACGGAGGGUGCAAGCGUUAAUCGGAAUUACUGGGCGUAAAGCGCGCGUAGGCGGUCUGUCGCGUCGAUCGUGAAAACUUGGGGCUUAACCCUGAGCUUGCGGUCGAUACGGGCAUGACUGGAGUUCGGCAGGGGAGACUGGAAUUCCUGGUGUAGCGGUGAAAUGCGCAGAUAUCAGGAGGAACACCGGUGGCGAAGGCGGGUCUCUGGGCCGAUAUUGACGCUGAGGAGCGAAAGCGUGGGGAGCAAACAGG
rnacentral:rRNA from 1 species